UACGUAGGGGGCAAGCGUUAUCCAGAUUUACUGGGCGUAAAGAGCUCGUAGGCGGUGUGUCACGUCGGCCGUGAAAACCUGCAGCUUAACUGUGGGCGUGCGGUCGAUACGGGCAUCACUGGAGUUCGGCAGGGGAGACUGGAAUUCCUGGUGUAGCGGUGAAAUGCGCAGAUAUCAGGAGGAACACCGGUGGCGAAGGCGGGUCUCUGGGCCGAUACUGACGCUGAGGAGCGAAAGCGUGGGGAGCGAACAGG
rnacentral:rRNA from 1 species